rnacentral:rRNA from 1 species
CGUAGGGUGCGAGCGUUAAUCGGAAUUACUGGGCGUAAAGCGUGCGCAGGCGGUUAUGUAAGACAGAUGUGAAAUCCCCGGGCUCAACCUGGGAACUGCAUUUGUGACUGCAUGGCUGGAGUACGGUAGAGGGGGAUGGAAUUCCGCGUGUAGCAGUGAAAUGCGUAGAUAUGCGGAGGAACACCGAUGGCGAAGGCAAUCCCCUGGACCUGUACUGACGCUCAUGCACGAAAGCGUGGGGAGCAAACAGGAGUAGAUACCCUGGUAGUCCACGCCCUAAACGAUGUCAACUGGUUGUUGGGAAUUAGUUUUCUCAGUAACGAAGCUAACGCGUGAAGUUGACCGCCUGGGGAGUACGGCCGCAAGGUUG